UCCAGGCUCCCGCUCGAAUCGAUUCAAAAUGUUUCCUCGUGUUCCCAAAGUCGCAUAAAAUUUCUCGUCAACCAUGAAGACGAUGAAUCACGUCAUGUGAACUGAGAAUUAGUUUCGCCCUGUUUCGCCGUGUAAAGUGAUAACUAAAAAAGUGUUCGCUCGUCGACGAAACACCGAACGAGAUAAAACAAAAUGCCGGAACUAACAGAAUUGGACAAAGCGGCGUCGUCCGAACCUACCAAGGUCGAAGCAGCAGCAGCUGGAUCAGGAAGUGAUUCGGAUUCUGAUGACACCAUCCCGGAACUCGAAGAUGCUGGAGCAGGAGCACCAGUGUCCUUCCCAGGAUCCACAGUUGCUGGCCUUCCCAUUGACAUGGUUUCUAAAGCCAAACAGAGCCGUGGCGAGAAGAAAGCUAGGAAACUCAUGAGCAAAUUGGGAUUGAAACCAGUUCAAGGAGUCAACAGAGUAACAAUUCGCAAGUCCAAAAAUAUCCUCUUUGUGAUCAACAAACCAGACGUCCUCAAGAAUCCAGCUUCAGACACUUACAUUGUCUUCGGUGAAGCCAAAAUUGAGGAUCUCAGUCAGCAAGCGCAGGUGGCAGCAGCCGAAAAAUUCAAGGAGCCACCAGUAAUUGCAGCAACCGAAGCAGGUGGCAGCACGACGGUGGUGGCACCUAUUCAAGAGGAGUCUGAGGAGGAAGUAGACGAAACGGGCGUCGAAGAAAAGGAUGUUGACCUCGUUAUGUGCCAAGCCAACGUUUCUCGAGGGAAGGCAAUCAAAGCUCUUAAGAAUAACCAAAAUGAUAUCGUCAACGCCAUAAUGGAGCUGACGAUGUGAUGAAACUACGUUGCAGCAUAAUAGGCUACGGAGCUGACGAUGUGAUGAAACUACGUUGCAGCAUAAUAGGCUACGGUACAUUAUAACUCACAUAGAGCUGACGAUGUGAUGAAAUAACUUUGGAGUGUAAUAGGCUACGGUACAUUAUAACUUAUGCAGUGAUACCAUUAUUUUAUUAUCAGUGAAUCGAGCGAUCAUCAUUUCUUUCUCCAUCCCAUUGGUCACCAUAAAAAAUACUUCAUGUAUAUACAAAAGUCUUGUGAAAAAAUAAAUACUUUAAUUCAUGCAGAAUUUUUCUGAAAUGCAUGCUCUGUAGAUGUAAGAUAACUUAAAGAACUUAAUGAUCGCAAAAUAGUUUCGAAAAAUGAUGUUUCGUACGUAAUUAAAGAUUUAUGAACCUCUUUAAAAUAAAAUUAUUACAAUAAGUAGUUGAAUCCCUUUAUAAUGAGUAUAUCAUGCUUAUAUUUAGAUUAAAUGUCAUUUUUAAGGUGGGAUGGAGAAUUAGUUAAUAAUGUGAAAAGUUUUUAUUUUAUCUUAUCAACUAAACAUUAAGUGGUUCAAAAUGUAAAGAAUCUUUCUGUUUAUAAAAAACGAGACUAGAAAUAGAUGUAUUUUUAAC